UGGGGAAUAUUGGACAAUGGGCGAAAGCCUGAUCCAGCCAUGCCGCGUGUGUGAAGAAGGUCUUCGGAUUGUAAAGCACUUUAAGUUGGGAGGAAGGGCAGUAAGCGAAUACCUUGCUGUUUUGACGUUACCGACAGAAUAAGCACCGGCUAACUCUGUGCCAGCAGCCGCGGUAAUACAGAGGGUGCAAGCGUUAAUCGGAAUUACUUGGCGUAAAGCGCGCGUAGGUGGUUCGUUAAGUUGAAUGUGAAAGCCCCGGGCUCAACCUGGGAACUGCAUCCAAACCUGGCGAGCUAGAGUAGGGCAGAGGGUGGUGGAAUUUCCUGUGUAGCGGUGAAAUGCGUAGAUAUAGGAAGGAACACCAGUGGCGAAGGCGACCACCUGGGCUCAUACUGACACUGAGGUGCGAAAGCGUGGGGAGCAAACAGG
rnacentral:rRNA from 1 species